rnacentral:rRNA from 1 species
CAGUCGCCGCGGUAAUACAGAGGGUGCGAGCGUUAAUCGGAUUUACUGGGCGUAAAGCGUGCGUAGGCGGCUUUUUAAGUCGGAUGUGAAAUCCCUGAGCUUAACUUAGGAAUUGCAUUCGAUACUGGGAAGCUAGAGUAUGGGAGAGGAUGGUAGAAUUUCAGGUGUAGCGGUGAAAUGCGUAGAGAUCUGGAGGAAUACCGAUGGCGAAGGCAGCCAUCUGGCCUAAUACUGACGCUGAGGUACGAAAGCAUGGGGAGCAAACAGGAUUAGAUACCCCCGUAGUCCCUGUCUCUUAUAC